rnacentral:tRNA from 1 species
GCCCCGGUGGCGGAACUGGUAGACGCAGCCGAUUCAAACUCGGCUACCUGACCGGGUGUGCGAGUUCGACUCUCGCCUGGGGCA